AUGGGAGGGACCUCCAGGGCCUCAGGACACUGGCUUCCUAAUCAACCAAUAUUAAAACCUUUCAUUCUUUUCACAACCAGUAUGGCCUUACCGAGACGACUGCUUCUUGGAUGGAAAGCUAUGACAUACCUUAGUGUAUUAAAAGGCAAAGACACAACUCAGAUGCCAGAUGCCCUGGCCAUGGGCUGGGAAAGCAUCUCUCCACCACAGAGGGAAGACACUCGACCAGUUUCACUCAUCCACUCCUCCUGUCUCCAGUCCAGCAGAUCAACACAAGACCACCCCCUAAGCUCUCAACUGCUCUCACCCAAUAAGCCGGCUGCAACUAACAAGAAUACUUUUCAGGUGCUCAAAAGACCUCUAUCUGUGGUACCCAGGGAAGGAAAAAAAAAUAUUCCGUCUUGUUUGUCUCUUAAAAUGUACUUUUCGAAAAAAAAAAAAAAGGAGGAAAAGGAGAAAAAGCAGGGCACAGAGUAAAACCAUUUGUACUGGUCAAACAUGCCACUACCCAUCCAAAGGAAAGGAGGAAAUUGAAAAUUAACUUCGGUCCCCUGGUUUGUGUCCUUCCUGCCUGCAAAGAAGGCUAAGAAGAAUCUCCACUUGCACCGGGCUGUGUCUGCUCACGGUGACAUCUGUCAACCUAGGAGUUUAAUUGUUGAUAAUAGCAUUCCCCUGUUAUUCAGGCACCACACAAAUAGCAUAAAUAUGAUUUAACCACCCUUGCCAGAAAUCACAAAUUUGCGUCGUGCAUGCUGAACACUAAGGCUGAUUAGCGCAAAAUUUAAUUUUCGUUAAUAUCAGCCCAAGACAAGUAGAGCAUGAAAUUAACCUGAUGUGUUAAUAUUGUGCUUCACAGUUCCAACUGCAUCCUGCAGACACUCUCACUGGAGACAGGUGCCGCUCUGCAUGGGGAAGAAUUCUAGCAAUCAGUGCUGUCUAGGAGGCAGAAUGAGCUAGCCCAGGAGGUGGGGCUCCCUGCGGUUGCAGGAGUUCAAGAAGGCACUGGAUGAUAACUCAGUGAGGCAUUGAUGGCAAGUGGAUAUCAUCGUGGGAAUUAAGGCCUAUUCACCUCUGUGCGUGGGUGCGUAUUCAGUCACUCAGUCGUGUCAGACUCUUUGCGAUCCCACGGCUCCUCUGUCCAUGGCAUUUUCUAGGCAAGGAUACUGGAGUGGGUUGCCAUUUC
rnacentral:lncRNA from 1 species